GAUAACUGUUAAAGUGCCAUGAUGUUGUUGUGGUAAUUUGGAGCAGUGUGCGUGCGUUGGCGUGUGUGUGAUGUGGUGUGGACUAUGGAUAGGACGGGUAGUCACGGCUUGAGUUCUUCGCUGGGACCCGAUCCUUCGAGGGGUAGUCACGGCUUGAGUUCUUCGCUGGGACCCUCGAUUUGGUUAUUAAGUGGAAGUCCGAGCUGAGUUCUUCGCUGGCACCAGGUUGGAUUUAAGAGAGCUGUAUAGGGAAUCAGCUCCCAUAUAUUAUGAUUGAUGUUACAGGGCCACAGGAGGAGUUAUUUUACAGAGCAACCUGUUUUCUUUCUCGCAGGUUUAACGUCAAUUAUUUAAUUGUUUUACUAUCUUUUCUAAAUUUAAAAGUCUAGAACUCCGCAUGUGAUAGAAAUAGUGUGGACCUUGGUAGAGGUUGUGUUAAUUUAAAUUUUUAAGAUUAAUAAAUGAAGAUUUGUAUGGUA